AAUGAACGCUGGCGGCAUGCCUAACACAUGCAAGUCGAACGGCAGCACAGUAAGAGCUUGCUCUCACGGGUGGCGAGUGGCGGAAGGGUCAGGAGUACAUCGGAAUCCACUUUUUCGCGAGGGAUAACGUAGGGAAACUUACGCAAAUACAGCAUACAUCGUACGAGGGUGAGCCGGGGUACUUCUGACUUUGUGCGAAGGAAUGAGCCGACGUCGGAUGAGCUAGUUGGCGGGGUCAAGGCCCACAACGGCGACGAUCCGUAAGUGGUCUGAGAGGACGAUAAGUCAGCUUGGAACUGAGACACGGUCGAGACUCCGAGGCGAGGCAGCAGUGGAGAAUAGUGGACAAUGGGCGCAAGCCUAAUCCAGGCAUACCGCGUGGGUGAUGAAGCCCUUAUGGUGGGAAAGCCAUGUUGUUGGGAGAGAAAAAAAGCAGGUUAAUACCCGGCGGUUCUGACGGUACCCAAAGAAUAAGCGCCGGCUAACUUCGUG
rnacentral:rRNA from 1 species